rnacentral:misc_RNA from 1 species
AACGCACCUUGCGCUCUAUGGCAAUCCGUAGAGCAUGCCUGUUUGAGUGCCAUGAAAUCUCCCACCCCAAGCGGUUUUUAAAUGAAACGGCUUGGCGGAUGGGGUCUGGAUGGGUGCCUCUGCCUGCGCUACCCUGCACAGGCUCGCCCGAAAUGCAUGAGCGCCUUGAGACACUUUGCAUCCGCCUCUCUGUUUGGGAGGAGGCGGCCAAGCAGUGUUUUUCUCCUGGCAUGGCAUGAUACGUCAUUUGCUAUGUCGCCUAAAGGAGGAAUGUUUGGUUGUGUCUGCGUGUGCUUCAAACUUGCCUCUGUGGCACAUCCCAAUUUCACUUCUGGUCUCAAAUCAGGUAGGAUCACCCGCUGAACUUAA